CCUGACGGGUUCUCCUAUGGAGGGUCUAUUGGGGAGCUGAGGUCUACGUGUAUCGAAGAUUUUCCUCCUGUGUUCGAUUUCGACUCUUAUGCGGAAACUCUGUCUCAAGUCAACGUGAUGUACCCUGACUCACCACCCCAGCAUUCACCACACUGCCCAGCCCUGCCCACUCUUCCUUCUUCACAUGGAACACUGCCAUGGAAACAGAGGGCUACUGGGGGACCUUGUCUCUUUGCUGUUUGGUCUCAGUCUUAAACAAUUUCAUCAAGUUUAUGGUUUUCAGUGUGAUGUGCAAAGAAAGUAAUGUCCGGUUUCUGUAUCCUUUUGUCUUUUAACUCAGUAACAUUCAAAACACCAGAAUUAUCAGCAGUGCUAAUAGAUUAAUGUCAAUAUGUGCCUGUUAUAUGCCCCUUACAACUAUUUUGUACUGAGAGUGGUAAAUAAAGCACUCUUUGGCCAAGUAAAAUAAAUCACAUGCAAACAACAAAAAUGUUAAGGGUAUUUGGAAAGGGCCAAUGAAAUAAAGUUUGAUUUCAACAAUUAGAUGCAAUAGUUGUCCCCCUGUACCAGAAAGUAUACUCAUUUGUAUAUCCUGAAGUGCAAAACUGUAUAUUACAUGAUUUGUGAUUGGAAACUAGAAUGGUAUUUUGUAGGCUAACAAAAUACAUUUUUGAGUAAUGAAUACACAUUCUGCAAUUCUGUAUCUGUUCCAAUUAUCUUUACUAUACAUUUGAUAUGGUAUCCCUGAUUUAAAAACCAAUAUAUGACAUGAUAUGAGUGACUACUUGAUUAUUGUUUAGAUGUUUCCUUUAUAAAGGGAAAGGUUCUUUUUGAUCUAGACUAAUCUUUUCCCUCAUAGUUGAUUGAUAUUUACAUGUGAGGCACUGUGAAGGUUUAUGCAUGUCCUUAAUAUAUAAAAUGAUCUGUAGUCACUUGUGUAGCCAACUUUCUACAGAAAAAUCCAUAAGAAUCUAUCGGAAAAUUAUGUGUUAUAAAGUGCACAAAACUUUUGUUAAAUUCUUCAUACUUUUGUCUUUUAAACAACGUCCCAUGUAAAACCGACAUCAGAUUCCUGAAACACAUGCAGGCCUUCAAUUUUGUCGGUAUCCCUGGUAUCAGAUGAUGAAUGCCAAUUGUUUGUAAAUUGAAUGUGCGUGUCUGUUCAUGUUGACUGGCAUAAGGACCCAUCCUAGAAAUCCUAUGAAAGUCAUGCUCUCUUCAUAGCCAUGUGCAAAAUCAGCCAUUUCUCACUCCGCAAUGAUGUAUAUGCUGUCUGUAGGUCUGACUGCACACUUGUGUGUCUUUAUACUGUAUAUCAUCAUCAAUCAUCAUCAUCAGACACUUUCAUCAAUAUAUAAAAUUAAUAACAUGUUUUCCUAACAAGAUUAUCACAAACUAAAACUAAGUUGAAAACUUUGUGAAAAGAACAUUAUAGUAAACUGAAAAAAAUAAAAACAAGAUUUUAGAAAACUCGAAAAUUAACUAAAGCCAGCAAACCUGUCUGAUAACUAAACUCUUAAGAAAAUCCAUGUUUCAUGAAUGAGGCCCAAUGAGUGGAUACAAGGUAGUAUGAUCAUUUUUCAAAGACACUUGUAAAGCCUCACAAAUAACAGUGCUAAUAAAUGUUAAAAUGUUGAGUAGCACUCUUCUGUAAUUACUUGUAUUCACAUAUAGGAAUUACUACACAUAACAAUGUAGCAUUUAAUGUAGGUAGUGGAGAUUUCCUAUGUUAGUAUCCCUUUUAGCUGAUGUGUAAGUGACAAGCUAGUCUUCCUGGGGUCCGCAUGAAACAUGCAGUACAAGAGAAAAAAGUUUUUUUAUUAAAAUAAAAUACAAAUUAACUAGGCUAUAUAUUACAGUAAGAAUAGAAUCUUUACAAAGUAAUGUCAUGAUUAACUAGACAAGUGAAACGUCAUAACAGACAAUAUAAAAGCAACACAAUUUUAAGCAAAGAGUAAUUUCAAAUGACAAAUAAUUUCUAAAAGCAUUACAUCUUACAAAAUAGAAUUAAAAACAACACCAAAUACAAGUACAAGGCACAUAUUUACAAACAUUCUCAAUACAAUGACUUAAGUGAUAGGAGAGAUUCACCUACUCUUUAAAACUGUUUUUCUGUGAAUAAGGCGAAUAUUGAGUAUUGCAUUCCAGGAGGAUACUGCCCUAGACAGUAUUUUUCAGAGCAUUAGGCAUGUUAUGCUGAUGAGUGUCAGUACAGUACCCUUUCUGAUUAAAUAGAAAUCCAAGGCUGAGUGUUAAUGGUGAUAGUGAAAAAUAAAUAAACUGGCAGAUAACCUAGUUGCAACUUUUAGCCACUUAAAUAAAGGCAUACUAUGCAGGAUUUUUUUACUUUAAAUAUUGCAAAAUACCUAGACUAAGGCAUAUCUAUGAUACACUGGCAAUCUCAGUCUUUAUGUACUUUCUCCCAAAUUUGUGCAACUUUUACCUGUAUUUGUUAUUCUAAAAUGCAUUUGGGAUGUUUCUGGGCAUGGCAUUCUUUUCUGUGUGGGAAGGGGUGGGCAUGGUUACAGAGCCUGUGGUUUGGGAUCCGAUUCCAGCAAAGUGUUUGUUAGCUAGUUAGUUGCUGCAAUGGCUAAAUACAGAAAGAGGAAAAACACAAAAUAGCUGCAACAGCACUGCAGAGUAGCUACUGUACAAUUUUCCCACAUGCUAAGGGUGCACUCAGUGUAAAGAUUGUUAUAUCACUGGCUAGUUACUGUUACCAUCUAUAUGGAAUCAUUCAUGUUACAAAACAUGCUAUUUACAAUAUCACUGACCACCUCACAUCUUCGCUUCACAUUUUGCUUGUAGCGGUCAAGGGUAUGUGCUGAACAGAGGUGUGGGUGGGGUUGAGGAGACUAAUUUGAUUACAAACCCAGAGUCUAGAAGGGCCGCAAAAUCCUACAUAGUAUACCUUUGAAUGAAUACAUCAGCUCUAUGUUGGUUCUUAAGGAACAGCUACUGUAAUAGGGCCUAGCAGCCCUAUUUUUAUCUAUUUGUAAUUUACUGAGUUCCUCCUUAGCAGCUGAUGCCCAAACAACUGAGCAGUAGUCAAGAUGACACAAAACCAAGGGCUGCAUCACAUGACUCAGCAUCAAAGAUGUAAGAUAGGAAGUGCAUUUUCUAAUCAAUUCAAUUCCCCUACCCAUCUUCAGAGCUAUCCAUAUGCUCAGACCAAGAAAAUGUGCCAUCAAGCAAUACACCUAGCAGCUUUACCGUCUUCACUUGUGUGAUGAAUAGACCACAUAGCUGUAUCUCCAGUUUUAGAUCACUAGCUAGUCUGUGCCUUGAACUAAAAAUAAUCGUCAUGUUUGUUGAGAUGUUAACAAAAAAUCUGUUCGUCAUUACCAAGUCACUGCACUGCAUUCAAUUCAUUUGUAAAGACUAAACCGAGUCACUCAGUAUAAGAUGCAGUAUAUAAUGUGGAGUCAUCAGCGUAUAACACCAAGCUGGCCUAUUCAAUAGCAGAAGGAAGAUCAUUUGUGAAGAGCAUAGGAGAGGCCCUCAACAGCUUGUCUGUGGGAUACCAGAGUCUAGACUCCACUAUCAGAGAAGCUGCCAUUGAACAAAAACUCAGAUAACUCUCUCUAUCAGAAAGAUAACGUUUCAGUCUUCCUGCUAACAGUUUAUGAUCUAUCAACAUUGAAUCGUCAGUUUACUAUUAUUAUUAUUCAAUUUAAUUUAACUUUAUUUCAGACACGUAGGUCCAUGUAAUAUUAUUAUUAUUAUUAUUAUUAUUUAUUUGGAUGACAAACCAGUCUAGACUGACAAAUUGGGCUUUACACCUAAAACAAUGACUUCCAUUUUAAAAUAUGACAAAAUUUUUGCCUGCAAAAAGAGACUGUUAAAGUACAGAAUGGGAAAUCCAUUACACAUUACAUGAUGUCCCUGUCACUUUGUUGUAUGAACAUUGUAAUAGCAAUGAUCCUUAUUUCCUAAAACCAUCAUUGUCUCUGUGUUUGCACAUUUUUGUAUUUGUGUUGCUUCCUUUGUUAUGUUGUAGAAAAUAAACAAUCCAAGAUUUGUUC